UACAACUUUCAACAACGGAUCUCUUGGCUCUCGCAUCGAUGAAGAACGCAGCGAAAUGCGAUAAGUAAUGUGAAUUGCAGAAUUCAGUGAAUCAUCGAAUCUUUGAACGCACCUUGCGCCCCUUGGUAUUCCGAGGGGCAUGCCUGUUUGAGUGU
rnacentral:rRNA from 1 species